ACAUUAUCGAUUCUUCUUACUUGACUGAAUUGUCAUGAGCAAAGAUUAUUCAUGUAUGUGUUUUGGAAAGGUAAAGAUGGUCAACAUGAUGAAUGCAGUCAGGUAGUUCUAUGUGAUCAGAUAUGUGUUUGUGUCUUUAUAAAGUUUGUUGGAUGAUUGUCUUUCCCCCAACUAGACUGUAAACAUUUUAAGGGUGGGGACUUUGUCCUCUACUUCCAUUGUAUUUCCUACAGUUUCACAUUGCAUGUCAUUCACAUAACGGGCAUCACUUAAAUGCCAUAAGGAAAAAAACCUCUCCUUUUUCUGUAUCUGUCCAUAAGUUCGGGCUAUCAGCUAUAUGAUCUAAAUGUGUCACCCCCAUGUUAACAUGCUGAAAGCUUAACCUACGUGGUGAUGGUAUUAGGGGUGGAGCCUUUGGAAGGUGAUUAAUUAAUGAAGACAGAGACAUCAUAAUUCAGAUUUGUGCCAUGCUAAGAGACCCCAGAGAGCCAGUCAGCCCUUUCCACCAUGGAAGAUACAACAGAAGAGCUCCAUCUAUGAACCAGAACUCAGGCCCUCACCAGAUUUCCCAGCCUGAAUAACUGUACUUACUGAGGCAAGCGGGAUAGUGCUACCAUCUUGAUCCGAACACAGAGCACACUUUUGGAGCUCGUCUUUGGAAAUGGUCUUGGGAGACUUGCUCCAUUCCUUUGCAUGCCAUCACUGCCAAAAUGCUAUGUUACAUGAAUGCCUUGUGAUUGAGGACAAAUCAUUUAGUUCAACUGGAUAUUCUGGCCUGUUUAUUCAGUCACUGUAAGUCUAAAUUUCCCCAUUAAUAAAAAGUCAUUAAAAUACUUAAUAUGAGGCUGGGAAAGAAUAUAUGUGAGUGUUAUAAACAAAUACCUGGCAGUCAUUUGCGUAGAUGUCUCUGUUGGGGAGUGAAUUGUUUUGAGAAGUGAGAUCAUA
rnacentral:lncRNA from 1 species